rnacentral:rRNA from 1 species
CGCGUAGGCGGGAAUUUAAGUUAGAUGUGAAAACACCAGGCUCAACUUGGUGACUGCAUUUAAAACUGGGUUUCUUGAGGGCAGGAGAGGAAAGCGGAAUUCCUAGUGUAGCAGUGAAAUGCGUAGAUAUUAGGAGGAACAUCAGUGGCGAAGGCGGCUUUCUGGACUGUACCUGACGUUGAUGCGCGAAAGCGUGGGGAGCGAACG